ensembl:lncRNA novel transcript, antisense to PCDHB3, PCDHB4, PCDHB5, PCDHB6 and PCDHB7
AGGGACCUGAGGGCAAACAGGUGGCCGUUGUCCGCGUUGAUGGAGACCAGGGAGGCGAGGGGCAGGUUUCUCUGUUACCAGAGUAUAGAAGUUUUCGACAGAUGGCUUCAGGAUGAAGGGGACAUCGUCCUGGAUGGAGCACACUGUCUUUCCAUUGUUCCCGGAAUCUCUGUCUCUAAUCCUAAAAACAGCCACGACUGUCUCGGCCAGCAGCGCCACCUUGCGUUUUGUGGAUGUUAUUCCCGUUAUCAAGACUAGAACAAAAAGAUGGCGGAUUGAAGGAAUUCUGCAACAAGAAUGAUUUGUCCCCGGUAUCUUUGCUGUUUCAUUCCAUCUUUAUCCUCAAAUGGUCACAGUAAUGCUACCACAGAAUAGCGUCUUGACUCGGACCCAGCCAGAGACCCUCCCAGAAAAA